rnacentral:rRNA from 1 species
GCUUAACACAUGCAAGUCGAACGCUUCGGGCUCCUUCGGGAGCCGGAAGAGUGGCGAACGGGUGCGUAACACGUGAGUGACCUGCCCUUUUCUGGGGGAUAACCGGGGGAAACCCCGGCUAAUACCGCAUGGGCCUGGCUCCUUUCGGGGAGGCAGGUAAAAGCCGAAAGGUGGGAAAGGAGGGGCUCGCGGCGUAUCAGCUAGCUGGUGGGGUAACGGCCUACCAGGGCGACGACGCGUAGCCGGUCUGAGAGGAUGAUCGGCCACAUUGGGACUGAGAUACGGCCCAGACUCCUACGGGAGGCAGCAGUGGGGAAUCUUGCGCAAUGGGCGAAAGCCUGACGCAGCGACGCCGCGUGGGGGAGGAAGGUCUUCGGAUUGUAAACCCCUGUCAGGUGGGACGAUGAUGACGGUACCACCAGAGGAAGCACCGGCUAACUCCGUGCCCAGCAGCCGCGGUAAUACCGGAGGGUGCGAGCGUUGUUCGGAAUUACUGGGCGUAAAGCGCGCGCAGGCGGUGAUUUAAGUCUACCUGUCCAAUGCCGGGGCUCAACCCCGUGCCCUGCAGGAGAUACUGGAUCACUGGAGACAUGCAGAGGCAAGUGGAAUUCCGGGUGUAGCGGUGGGAAUUGCGUAAGAUCCGGAAGAACCAUCGGUGGCGAAGGCGGUUGCUUGGGCNUGGACUGACGCUAGGCGCGAAAGGCGUGGGGAGCGAACAGGAUUAAAUACCCUUGGUUGUCCACGCGGUUAAACGAUUGGGCACUUAAACUUGGGGCGGAUCGACCCGUUCCCNUGUUCGCACUUAACGCGUUGAAGUGCCCCGCCNUGGGAUUAACGGGCGCAAGGGCUGAAACUCAAAGGAAUGGACGGGGGCCCGCACAAGACGGUGGAGACAUGUGAUUUAAUUCGAAGCAACGCGAAGAACCUUACCCGGUUUUGACAGUGCACUGAAACUCCGGUGAAAGCCGGGGGCCUCCUUCGGGACACGUGCACAGGUGCUGCAUGGCUGUGUCAGCUCGUGUCGUGAGAUGUUGGGUUAAGUCCCGCAACGAGCGCAACCCUUGCCGGCUGUUGCUAACAGGUCAACUGAGGACUCUGCCGGGACUGCCGGUGACAACCGGAGGAAGUUUGGGNACGACGUCNAGUCAUCAUGGUCCUUACGCCCGGGGCUACACACGUGCUACAAUGGCCGGGACAAACCGAAGCGAAGGCCGCGAGGUGGAGCGAAUCGGAAAAACCCGGUCCAAGUUCGGAUUGCAGUCUGCAACUCGACUGCAUGAAGCUGGAAUCGUCUAGUAAUCGUGGGUAGCUACACCACGGUGAAUACGUUNNCCGGGCAUUGUACACACCGCCCGUCACGCCUAUGGAAGUUGGGAGCGCCGCAGAAGCCCGUGAGCCAACUCGCAAGAGAGG